rnacentral:rRNA from 1 species
AGCGGCGGACGGGUGAGUAACGCGUGAGCAACCUGUCCCAGUCAGGGGGAUAACGAGCCGAAAGGCUCCCUAAUACCGCAUGAGACCACAGCAUCACAUGGUGCAGGGGUCAAAGGAGAGAUCCGGACUGGGGUGGGCUCGCGUCUGAUUAGCUAGUUGGUGAGGUAAAGGCCCACCAAGGCGACGAUCAGUAGCCGACCUGAGAGGGUGAUCGGCCACAUUGGAACUGAGACACGGUCCAAACUCCUACGGGAGGCAGCAGUGGGGAAUAUUGGGCAAUGGGGGAAACCCUGACCCAGCAACGCCGCGUGAAGGAAGAAGGUCUUCGGAUCGUAAACUUCUAUCCUUGGUGAAGAUAAUGACGGUAGCCGAGAAGGAAGCCCCGGCUAACUACGUGCCAGCAGCCGCGGUAAUACGUAGGGGGCAAGCGUUGUCCGGAAUGAUUGGGCGUAAAGGGCGCGUAGGCGGCCUGGUAAGUCUGGAGUGAAAGUCCUGCUUUUAAGGUGGGAAUUGCUUUGGAUACUGCUGGGCUUGAGUGCAGGAGAGGUAAGUGGAAUUCCCGGUGUAGCGGUGAAAUGCGUAGAGAUCGGGAGGAACACCAGUGGCGAAGGCGACUUACUGGACUGUAACUGACGCUGAGGCGCGAAAGUGUGGGGAGCAAACAGGAUUAGAUACCCUGGUAGUCCACACUGUAAACGAUGAAUGCUAGGUGUAGGGGGUAUCGACCCCUUCUGUGCCGGAGUCAACACAAUAA